UACGGGGGGGGCAAGCGUUUGUUCGGAAUUACUGGGCGUAAAGCGCACGUAGGCGGAUUUGUAAGUCAGGGGUGAAAUCCCGGGGCUCAACCUCGGAACUGCCUUUGAUACAGCAAGUCUUGAGUUCGAGAGAGGUGGGUGGAAUUCCUAGUGUAGAGGUGAAAUUCGUAGAUAUUAGGAAGAAACACCGGUGGCGAAGGCGGCCCACUGGCUCGACACUGACGCUGAGGUGCGAAAGCGUGGGGAGCAAACAGGG
rnacentral:rRNA from 1 species